rnacentral:misc_RNA from 1 species
AAAAAAAUAAAACAAAAAAAUAAAAUAAUUGGGGGAUCAUUAUAGAGAACAUAAAGCCAAAGCAUUCAAUAAUAAACAUCACAUAUGAACCUUCUUAAGCAAGACACAAGACAAAGAAAACUAUUUUGAGAAAUGAAGGAAACUUAUAAAUCAAUUAUACAUACACAGAAGCUACAUGUGAACUUAAACAGGAUUAUAGUAUUCUAAUCUACAUCAAAACAUACAAAACCAAAAUUAAAACAAGCAUACAACUCUUGCUCUUCUUAUCUGUAUCUAAUAGGACUCCAAAAUAAAUACUAAUAAAAGCAAAGCAAAGAUAGGAGAAGUUGCUAAUGAGAGAAAGUAAAAGAUCAUUCUUGUGUCUAAUUUAAACAUAUUCAAGUUUCAAUCCGACAUUGUUAGGCAUAAAUUACUCGCCUUUAACUUGUAAAAUUACCACACUUAAA